GGGCCGGCCGGCGUCUACCAUGCAGUCGACGGAAGGCCCUGCUUUUGUGGGGUGCUCGAGUGGCGAACGGGUGAGUAACACGUGAGUAACCUGCCCUUGACUUUGGGAUAACUUCAGGAAACUGGGGCUAAUACCGGAUAGGAGCUCCUGCUGCAUGGUGGGGGUUGGAAAGUUUCGGCGGUUGGGGAUGGACUCGCGGCUUAUCAGCUUGUUGGUGGGGUAGUGGCUUACCAAGGCUUUGACGGGUAGCCGGCCUGAGAGGGUGACCGGCCACAUUGGGACUGAGAUACGGCCCAGACUCCUACGGGAGGCAGCAGUGGGGAAUAUUGCACAAUGGGCGGAAGCCUGAUGCAGCAACGCCGCGUGCGGGAUGACGGCCUUCGGGUUGUAAACCGCUUUCGCCUGUGACGAAGCGUGAGUGACGGUAAUGGGUAAAGAAGCACCGGCUAACUACGUGCCAGCAGCCGCGGUGAUACGUAGGGUGCGAGCGUUGUCCGGAUUUAUUGGGCGUAAAGGGCUCGUAGGUGGUUGAUCGCGUCGGAAGUGUAAUCUUGGGGCUUAACCCUGAGCGUGCUUUCGAUACGGGUUGACUUGAGGAAGGUAGGGGAGAAUGGAAUUCCUGGUGGAGCGGUGGAAUGCGCAGAUAUCAGGAGGAACACCAGUGGCGAAGGCGGUUCUCUGGGCCUUUCCUGACGCUGAGGAGCGAAAGCGUGGGGAGCGAACAGGCUUAGAUACCCUGGUAGUCCACGCUGUAAACGGUGGGUACUAGGUGUGGGGUCCAUUCCACGGGUUCCGUGCCGUAGCUAACGCUUUAAGUACCCCGCCUGGGGAGUACGGCCGCAAGGCUAAAACUCAAAGGGAAUUGACGGGCCCCGCACAAGCGGCGGAGCAUGCGGAUUAAUUCGAUGCAACGCGUAGAACCUUACCUGGGCUUUGACAUGGAAUCGGGAGGUGCUCAGAGAAUGGGUGGUGCCUUCUUUUUGGGGUCGGUUCACAGGUGGUGCAUGGCUGUCGUCAGCUCGUGUCGGGAGAAAUGUUGGGUUAAAGUCCGCAACGAGCGCAAUCCUUGUUCACCUGUGUUGCAGCACGUUAUGGGUGGGGACUCAAAUGGAAUCCUCGGUCGGGAUCCCACCCCCGGAGGAAGUGGGAUAGAACCCUCCAAGUUCUUACUAUAGUGCCUAUAUGUGCCAAGGCUUACAGACUAUG
rnacentral:rRNA from 1 species